rnacentral:rRNA from 1 species
UACGAAGGGGGCUAGCGUUGUUCGGAAUUACUGGGCGUAAAGCGUGCGCAGGCGGUGAUGUAAGUCAGAUGUGAAAUCCCCGGGCUCAACCUGGGAACUGCAUAUGUGACUGCAUCGCUGGAGUGCGGCAGAGGGGGAUGGAAUUCCGCGUGUAGCAGUGAAAUGCGUAGAUAUGCGGAGGAACACCGAUGGCGAAGGCAAUCCCCUGGGCCUGCACUGACGCUCAUGCACGAAAGCGUGGGGAGCAAACAGG